AACAACCAAUAUUAUUCCACGAGAUGGCGCUACAGCCUACUUAGAGUUGUGACGAUAAUUUUGUAAGAUGGCGCUAGAAGUUAGAAGUUAAAACUUAAUUUUUGAUUUUGUUUUUUAAUAAUAAUAAUUAAUGUGUCUACAGUAACUGGUAGAAUUUCUCCAUAUAUCGUGCAAAAUGUUUUGAUUUUACGUUACACACUUGUUGUGAAGCAAAAAGCCUGACUCCUAUUUAAUCGAAUUUUCACCACUUUACAUUGGAUUACCUACAAAAUAGUUAUGAGCAGAAGAGCAAGAUAAGUGACCAAAAAAUAAUAAGAACCCUGAAUCUGAUGAGGCAAGAAUGCGACCAGACUCCCCUCCGCGAUGCUGUUGCUGCUGUCCC